rnacentral:rRNA from 1 species
UAAGGAAUAUUGGUCAAUGGACGCAAGUCUGAACCAGCCAUGCCGCGUGAAGGAUGAAGGUCCUCUGGAUUGUAAACUUCUUUUAUCUGGGACGAAAACGGGAUUUUUAUCUCAAUUGACGGUACCAGAGGAAUAAGCACCGGCUAACUCCGUACCAGCAGCCGCGGUAAUACGGAGGGUGCGAGCGUUAUCCGGACUUACUGGGUUUAAAGGGUGCGUAGGUGGGCUUAUAAGUCAGUGGUGAAAUCUCCGAGCUUAACUUGGAAACUGCCGUUGAUACUAUAGGUCUUGAAUUAUCUGGAGGUAAGCGGAAUAUGUCAUGUAGCGGUGAAAUGCUUAGAUAUGACAUAGAACACCAAUUGCGAAGGCAGCUUACUACAUAUAAAUUGACGCUGAGGCACGAAAGCGUGGGGAUCAAACA